rnacentral:miRNA from 1 species
AUAAUGCUAUUGUUGAUGGGGUC